GACGAACGCUGGCGGCGUGCUUAACACAUGCAAGUCGAGCGGUAAGGCCCUUUCGGGGGUACGACGAGCGGCGAACGGGUGAGUAACACGUGGGUGACCUGCCCUCAGCUCUGGGAUAAGCCUGGGAAACGUGGGUCUAAUACCGGAUAUGACUCCAUGACGCAUGUUGUGGGGUGGAAAGCCUUGUGCGGCUGAGGAUGGGCCCGCGGCCUAUCAGCUUGUUGGUGGGGUGAUGGCCUACCAAGGCGACGACGGGUAGCCGGCCUGAGAGGGCGACCGGCCACACUGGGACUGAGACACGGCCCAGACUCCUACGGGAGGCAGCAGUGGGGAAUCUUGCGCAAUGGGCGAAAGCCUGACGCAGCGACGCCGCGUGAGGGAUGACGGCCU
rnacentral:rRNA from 1 species